UACGAGGGGUGCAAGCGUUAUUCGGAAUUACUGGGCGUAAAGUGCGCGUAGGCGGUUUGUUAAGUCGGUUGUUAAAGUCCCUGGCUCAACUGGGGAAAUGUGACCGAUACUGGUAGACUAGAGGACAAGAGAGAGAAGUGGAAUUCUCGGAGUAGCGGUAAAAUGCGUAGAUCUCGAGAGGAACAUCAGUUGCGAAGGCGGCUUCUUAGCUUGUAUCUGACGCUGAGGCGCGAAAGCGUGGGGAGCAAACAGG
rnacentral:rRNA from 1 species